rnacentral:snRNA from 1 species
GUGCUCACUUCAACAGCACCUAUACUAAAAUUGGAAUGAUACAGAGAAAGACUAACAUAGCCCCUGCGCAAGGAUGACACACAAGCUCGUGAAGUACUCCAUAUUUCU